ACGAGAAGACUGGGCUCACGUUGGAUGCAAGUUAUUGUCGUCCGGCAAGGUUUUAAAAAGUGAUGUUAUAGCUACUGGACAUUGAAGCGAUUGAAGACCAGAAAGCCUUAGUGCGACCGGCUUGAUUCAGGUGGCCUAUAUGUAUACCAUUGGGAGAGUUAAAGAAGUUUAGUCCUCUAAAAGAAGUCCUCCGGAAAGUUUACUGCAACAAAGGGAAAAAUCUGGACGAGGUCGACUACCUCAACAGCGCACCAAUGGCAGAAGAGGACGAUCCGGAGGACAUGGGUGAAGACGAUUGUGUGGUGGAGGUCGCAAAUGUCCUACCUGGACAAAAAGCCAAGAGGGGAAGGGAGACUUGUUUCCGGAGGAGACAUCUUCACAUCGAGAGACUAACAAUGACGCUCAGGAAAAAAAUCACCACUGGCAAAAAAGACGUAUUGCCUGGUGCAAUGCGGAAAAGGCAGCUGUGAUGAGGCAGCUUGGCAUGUUUGUUAGCCACAUGGAGGUUUCUGGCCAAGCUGCAUGCUUACGUGCCCUGUCAGCAGAAAAUGCUCUGUCCUAGCGCUCAUGGAGAGAUGUUAAAUCCAUGUCCAUAACGUGAUUGUUAGAGCACGUCGUAAGGCGAAAUGAGUCUCAGUGACUUACACAUUAGAUGUCGACUUCGUUCACGUUUGGAUGAUGCUCGCUAGUAAAUUCCGCAACGACAAAAACGAUCUCCUUGUUGUUGCUCCCGUUUAUAGUAGCAAUCUGUGUAGGUGGAGCUGAUGAACGGUGAAAAAGCAGUGCUCACCAAGGGCAGUAUGGCGAGAUUUGCAAUUCUGGGCGGAAGAUGACACCUAAGCACGGAAAUAGACCCACCCCAUUGGUAAAAAUGCGUUAUACCUGAAUGUCAGUUUGGAAGCAAAUUAGGUGUGUCAUUCUCCUGUCGCAUCUUUCCAAUACAGGAUUCAAUGCAAAUGCUUCUUUCUCUACGUCAUUUUUGAGAUCCGUUGGCAAAUCUGACACCACUACACUUAACCAAAGCACACUUGUUACAUUGGGAA